UCUGUUAAAUCUCCGCCCUUCAUUUCUUAUCACACCAGCCUCUCUCGAUUCUCUUUUCUCGCACCAAGUGGAUGAGUGCUUCGUUUCAAACUUUUUUAAUGGUUAAGCACUCUUCUUUAUCCAACUUCUGAAAAACUUCACUCAGGUUGCUGUGCUGUUUUAAGCAUAUAUCUUUUAAUGGUUUUUACACACAUUUGAAGUAACGUCUCUUAUUAAUUUGGUGUGGUAUCAUCCCGAGGAUUUUGAUAGUACAUUAACGACACUUUGCUCUCUCCUCUUCAAUCCCUGCGAUUGCAGAAUUCCUCCGUGUCUUCUGCUUCUGCUGCUUGGAUUAAGUUCAUCUAGCAAGGGUCGAAAAUGGCUCCAAGGAACAGUCGCGGCAAGGCUAAAGGCGAAAAGAAGAAGAAGGAAGACAAGGUUCUGCCGGUUGCUAUGGACAUCACCAUAAACCUUCCAGAUGAAACUCGCGUUAUUUUAAAGGGAAUAUCAACGGACAGGAUCAUAGAUGUCCGUCGCUUGCUAGCCGUGAAAGCAGAAACUUGUAGUAUCACAACAUUUUCAUUAUCUCAUGAGGCACGCGGGCCACGGUUAAAGGACACUGUCGACGUGUCAGCAUUAAAGCCUUGCAUCCUUAUAUUGACGGAAGAGGAUUACAAUGAGGAGCAGGCUGUGGCGCACGUUAGACGAGUGCUGGACAUCGUUGCGUGUACGACUUUCUUUGGGCCGUCCGGUGCGACCAAGGACGGCGCGAAGUCGGACGUGGCCAAGAAUGCGGUGGAUAAUAAAAGUGCCAAGAAAACCAUCGUGAAAUCCAGUUUUAACAAACAAUCACCACCACUGCCAUCAUCGAAAAUUUCAAAAUCCCUGUCGUCCAAUGAUGUGUCCGUUGACGGAGACGGAGAGAUGAGUCACUCCUGCCCUAAACUCGGCAGUUUUUAUGAGUUCUUCUCUCUUUCACACCUCACUCCUCCUCUCCAAUUUAUAAGAAGGGCAACGAAACGACAUCUCGAAGACGUUUCAGCUGAUGAUCAUCUUUUAUCACUUGAUGUGAAGCUUUGCAACGGGAAGCUGGUUCAUGUUGAAGCCUGUAAGAAGGGUUUCUAUAGUGUAGGAAAGCAGCGGAUUCUCUGCCACAAUCUUGUUGAUUUGUUGAGGCAGCUUAGCCGAGCGUUUGACAAUGCUUAUGAUGAUCUCAUGAAAGCGUUCUUAGAGCAUAAUAAGUUUGGAAAUCUUCCUUAUGGUUUCAGAGCAAACACAUGGCUCAUCCCUCCUAUUGCAGCACAAUUACCAUCAGUUUUCCCUCCUCUUCCUGUAGAAGAUGAAGCAUGGGGAGGAAAUGGAGGUGGCCUAGGAAGAGAUGGAAAAAGUGAUUUGUUGCCUUGGGCUUAUCAGUUUUCGUCUCUUUCAUCUAUGGCUUGCAAGACAGCAGAAGACAGACAGAUCAGAGAUAGGAAAGCUUUCCUUCUUCAUAGCUUAUUUGUUGAUGUUGCUAUUUUCAGAGCCAUCAAGGCAGUGCAGCAUGUUAUGGGAAGAUCGAUUUUAAGCUGUUCAGCUAGCACUGAAAUUCUAUAUACUGAGAAAAUUGGGGAUUUGAACAUCAUGGUUAUGAAAGAUGCAACCAAUGGAAGCUUUAAAGUCGACACUAAAAUUGAUGGAACUCAAGCAACUGGAAUGGAUAGAAAGAAUUUAGUAGGAAGAAACCUUCUGAAGGGAAUCACUGCUGAUGAAAAUACAACUGCACAUGAUGUUGCUAUCCUUGGUAUUGUCAAUGUAAGAUAUUGUGGCUAUGUAGCUAUUGUGAAAGUUGAUGAGAGAGGGAACAAAAAAGAUGUUCCUCCAUUGCAAAGCUUUGAAUUUGAACAGCCUGAAGGUGGCGUUAAUGCCUUAAACAUUAACAGUUUAAGAUUACUUCUUCACAAAACAACACCAUUAGAACACAACAAACUGGCACCACAUUUGCAAAAUUUGGAAUGUGAAGAGCUUAAUGCUUCCCAAGCAUUUGUGGAGAGAUUGCUAGAAGAGAGUAUAGCUAAACUUGAGGAAGAGGAAUCAGAGCAGGACCAGUUUGUGAGAUGGGAACUUGGAGCCUGUUGGAUACAACAUUUGCAAGACCAAAAAAAUGCAGAUAAAGACAAGAAACCAAAAAAUGAGAAGGCUAAGAAUGAAAUGAAGGUUGAAGGGCUUGGGACGCCUCUUAGGUCUCUUAACAACAAUAAGAAAAAAUUGGAUGGAAGCAAUCAGAAAAUUCAGUCUGAAAAUUUACAAUCCUGUGCAGAUGGAGUAACUGGGGAAUUUGAAUAUUCCCCUAGAGCUUCUAUAGAAGAUCAGCUUGAAACCAGUGCCAAAGAUAAUGAACUUGCACUUAAAGGGAUGCUGUCUGAUGAGGCGCUUGCUCGACUAAAAGAAUCCGAAACUGGACUUCAUCGUAAGUCUUUGCUGGAAUUAGUUGACUUGUCCAACAAAUAUUACGUUGAAGUCGCUUUACCGAAACUGGUAGCAGACUUUGGUUCUCUGGAACUUUCACCUGUUGAUGGACGGACUCUAACAGACUUCAUGCACACUAGAGGCCUUCGGAUGCGUUCUCUUGGACAUGUUGUGAAGCUUUCAGAAAAGUUGUCACAUGUACAAUCACUUUGUAUCCAUGAGAUGAUAGUUCGAGCCUUAAAGCACAUUCUUCGGGUUGUGGUUUCUGCUGUUGGUAAUACUGAGAAAAUGGCAGUAUCAAUAGCUGCUGCACUGAAUCUGAUGCUGGGAGUUCCUGAAAAUAAAAAACUAGAUAGGUCUCUUAAUGUCCAUUCCCUUGUGUGGAGAUGGCUGGAGGUGUUCUUGCUGAAGCGAUAUGGAUGGGAUCUACAUAGCUUAAAUGACAAAAAUCUAAGGAAAUUCGCGAUUCUACGAGGAUUAUGUCACAAGGUGGGCAUUGAAUUGGUUUCGAGGGAUUUUGAUAUGGAUUCUCCAAGCCCAUUCCGGAAAACAGAUAUUGUUGGUUUGGUGCCUGUGCACAAGCAAGCAGCAUGCUCGUCUGCAGAUGGAAGGCAGCUCUUGGAAUCGUCAAAAACAGCUUUAGAUAAGGGAAAACUUGAAGACGCAGUUACCUAUGGAACAAAGGCCCUUGCAAAACUGGUAGCAGUUUGUGGUCCCUACCAUCGAAUGACUGCGGGUGCUUACAGUCUCCUUGCUGUAGUCUUGUAUCACACUGGAGACUUUAAUCAGGCAACAAUUUAUCAGCAAAAAGCUUUGGAUAUCAAUGAGAGAGAACUAGGGCUUGAUCAUCCUGAUACGAUGAAGAGUUAUGGGGAUCUUGCUGUGUUCUAUUAUAGACUUCAGCACACAGAGCUAGCUCUCAAGUAUGUAAAGCGUGCUUUAUAUCUUUUGCAUCUCACUUGUGGCCCAUCUCAUCCAAACACUGCUGCAACAUACAUCAACGUGGCCAUGAUGGAAGAAGGACUUGGGAAUGUGCAUGUUGCCCUCAGAUAUCUUCAUAAAGCUCUGAAGUGUAAUCAAAGGUUACUUGGUCCAGAUCAUAUACAGACCGCAGCAAGUUACCAUGCCAUAGCAAUUUCACUCUCAUUGAUGGAGGCAUACCCGUUGAGUGUUCAACAUGAACAAACAACCUUGAAAAUUCUUCGAGCUAAGCUGGGCCCUGAUGAUCUACGUACACAGGAUGCUGCUGCUUGGCUUGAGUAUUUUGAGUCCAAGGCUUUUGAACAGCAAGAAGCUGCACGAAAUGGUACCCGGAAGCCCGAUGCAACCAUAGCCAGCAAAGGCCAUCUGAGUGUAUCAGAUUUACUUGACUACAUUAAUCCAAGUCAUGAUGCCAAGGGAAGAGAUGUCUCAGCCAUAAAGAGAAAGAUCUAUAUUACAAAGGUGAAGGGAAAAUCAUUCCAAGAUAUCAAUAUCACAAGUUCUGAUCCAUCUCCCAAGGAAGAUCUGAAAGAAAGUUCAGAUGAUGAGACACACGUACCUGAACCAGGUGGUGAAGUUGAAGUUAACCAGGGGAUUAGCUCUGAACUGUUUCAGCAGCAGCAGCAGCUUGUGGAGGAAGAGCCUACGAAGGAAAAUGUCAAUGUUGUCAAAGAAAUUUUAUCUGAAACACAUGAUGGAGGAGAUGAUGGAUGGCAAUCAGUUCAACGGCCCAGAUCUGCUGGCUCAUAUGGACGGAGGAUAAAGCAGCGGCGAGCAACAAUUGGCAAGGUUUAUAGUUAUCAGAAAAGGAGUAUGGAUGCAGUUGUUGACUACCCACCAGUCACAAAUACUCAUCAGCACAGCAGGCAUUUUCUUUUAAAGAAAAGGACAAUGUCUCAUGGAAGUUCUGUAGAUCACGCUGUGAAUUCUUCACAAGGUACCAAAUUCGGGCGUAGAGUAGUUAAGGCUGUAACAUACCGGGUAAAGUCCACUGCUUCAUCUACGAAGACAGAUACAAAAGAAAAUUCUAGAAAUGGUGGUGAGCUCUUAAGUUCUCCAUUAGAAUCUCGAGAUACUUCUAUACCAAAUGAUCUAAGUUCAGUGAAAAUAAUCAGUUUUGGAAAAUCUCCUUCUUACAAAGAAGUGGCAUUGGCCCCACCAGGCUCCAUUGCAAUGUUGCAUGUAAGAGCUCCCCCUAGUGAUAUUCCAGAUAAUCCGGAACUCAGUGCUGUAAGAUGUGAAAAUGAAGGAAAUGAAGGAAAAGAAACUGUGAAUACUCUUGUAACUGGGAUAGGGGACUUUGUUGAAGAGAAAAUCAGAAAUUCUAGGUCGGAAUUAACUGAUAACUUGAAAGAGGAAACUGGCAUUGUUAAAAAGAGGGAGGAAACUCAUUUAAAUGAUGUGGUGGAAGAUAAUCCUUCUUUGAUGGUUUCUAAAAAUGUGGAAGAACUUGAUCCUGGUGUUGUUGAGGUUCAUGAAGUGGUACAGGAUAAUAUAUUGAUUGAUAGUAUACCCAAUUCAAUUGAUUCUGCUCCAAGAGAUUUUUAUGAGAAUGAUUCAUCCAGAGGCUUCGAAUCCCCUGAUAAUUCAAACCCUGACCUUCAAGUAUUAGAGGAUUUGAAGGACAAACCCUCGUCUGUGAAGUCAGAUGGUACUCGGGGAUUUAUGAAUAGAAAAUUGUCUGCAUCAGCAGCACCAUUCAAUCCAUCACCAGUUGUUGCACAUGCACCAGUAGCCAUAAACAUGACUAUGCCUCCUGGUCCUGGUGCAGUUCCAGCUGUUGCCCCUUGGCCUGUAAACAUGACUCUUCACCCAGGGCCUGCUACUGUCUUAUCCACUGUUAACCCAAUGUGCUCUUCCCCGCACCACCCAUAUCCAUCACCUCCUCCAACUCCUAACAUGAUGCAGCCAUUGCCUUUAAUGUACCCUCCUUAUUCACAACCUCAAGCAGUGCCUACUGGUACAUUGCAUCACAAUCAUUUCUCAUGGCCAUGCAAUGUAAGCCCCGAUGUAUCAGACUUUAUUCCUGGAAUGUUUUGGCCUGGCUGCCAUUCAGUGGAGUUUUCUGUUCCACCACCUAUUGUUGAGCCAAUUGCUGAUCCAAUUUUGAAGCCAAAAUUGCAAUCUGAUGACUCUACUAUUCUGAGUUCAAUGCCAAUCCUGCCAGUGAAUAUUGAUGCUGUGGAAGAAGCUAAGAAAGAAGUGAACAUUCGAGCAUCUAAAGCAGUGGAUAAUGCAAAUGAAGUUGUUGAGAUUGGUUUGGAAAGUGUAAAGGAAAAUAGUCAUUCAAAUCUAUGUGGGAUCAAGGAUGCUAGGAAUGGGUCAAAUCAUUUCAACAGUCCAAAUGAAAGUUCUGGAAGUAGAGUUGCAAGAACCGAAGGUGAGAAAACCUUCAGCAUUUUAUUAAGGGGGAGACGGAACCGGAAGCAGACUUUGAGAAUGCCAAUUAGUUUGCUUAAUCGACCAUAUGGCUCACAGUCCUUCAAAGUCGCAUAUAACAGGGUAGUCAGGAGUGAAUCUCCAAAGUUAACCAGCUUUUCUUCAACUGAAGAUUCUGCUGCCCGUGCUAUAUAAUUUAGGUUUUGUUUUCUGAGAAAGUUAGUUAGCAGGCUCCAUUGGAAAACAAAAAAGAAAAAAAUUACAGGCCUUCAUUCUAUCAGAAAAGGGACAAAAGUUUUCUUUUUUGUUUUCUCUUUUCCCUUUUUUUCUUCUCAUCCAUCACAAAUUGCCUUGCCUCAUCAGUUGUAUGAUCACAUCACUUUCUGAAAGGAUGCAGGUACUCUGCUUUUGAUGAUAUGCAAAGGGAUGCUGGUGAUGAGGACCAAAAGGCUGUCUUUUCUGCAUCAGGUGUUGCCUUGCACUUACAAAUCUGUGAAAACCACUACUUCGUUUUAGAUGUUGUCUUGCUGUUGAUCUUAGUUCCCUUAUAAUUUAUCUAACAAAUUAGAUAGUGUUGAGUUUUUGGGACGUUGGACCUGGCCUUUUUUUCCGUACAGAACUGGGUGCUAUAAAACUUAUAGGAUCCGAUUUGGAGGUCCCACUAAUAUUUUUCGGCUGGCCAAAGGUUUCACUCAGUUUGCAGGUUUACAAUUGAAGAUUCAUUUAAAAUCAUACGUGUUCUUCUGUGGUCACAAUUUCGAUUCAUUUAUGAUAUGGUUAGGAAAUUUUGGUA